GCUGAGAGCGGCGGGAAAUUAUGGCUCACCUGUUUGAAGGUCCCUUUGGUGGUGACUAGAUGGUAGACCAUGUAAGAAGGCACACAGAU